GAAACCUGUCUCAGUUCGGAUUGGAGUCUGCAACCCGACUCCAUGAAGCUGGAUUCGCUAGUAAUCGCGCAUCAGCCACGGCGCGGUGAAUACGUUCCCGGGCCUUGUACACACCGCCCGUCAGGCCAUGGAAGCCGGGAGUGCCUGAAGUGCGUGAGCGCAAGCAGCGCCCUAAGGUAAAACCGGUGACUGGGGCUAAGUCGUAACAAGGUAUC
rnacentral:rRNA from 1 species